GCAACUCUCUCUCUCUCUCUCUCUCUCUCUCUCCCCCAUUCUGCCAAGCAAGAGCUCUCUCUCAAUCGGGCGGUGAAGAAACCUCCAUACGUGGCACAAUCACUCUCGAUUUCCCUCUCUUAGCAUUGAUUCUGAUUGGAAGUUUGUUACUGGAUUUUAGGAAGGAAUUGGAAUUUUGUAGAGAUUAUUUUACACUCUUUUCAGGUGAUUACGCUAUAGUACCGGGCACUAGAAAUCCUCCUUGGAUCCUAACAUUACUC